rnacentral:misc_RNA from 1 species
GAUGAAGAACGUAGCGAAAUGCGAUAAGUAAUGUGAAUUGCAGAAUUCAGUGAAUCAUCGAAUCUUUGAACGCACAUUGCGCCCCUUGGUAUUCCGGGGGGCAUGCCUGUUCGAGCGUCAUUAUCACCCCUCAAGCUCAGCUUGGUGUUGGGGCCUGCCGUCAAGGCAGCCCUUAAAAUCAGUGGCGGCGCCAUCUGGCUCUAAGCGUAGUAAUACUUCUCGCUCUGGAGGUCCGGUCGUGUGCUCGCCAGCAACCCCCAAUUUUUUUCAGGUUGACCUCGGAUCAGGUAGGGAUACCCGCUGAACUUAAGCAUAUCAAUAAGCGGAGGA